ACUUUUAUAAUAUAAAUAGUAUAUUUAAUUUCCAAUUAAAAAGUUUAUAAUAAUUAAUAUUAGUA
rnacentral:tRNA from 1 species